rnacentral:lncRNA from 1 species
ACCAAGUAAUAAACCCUAGAAUCUCUCUAAAUAUAGACAUUCACCAUAAAUAAAAUUUUAUUUAUAACACUUUCUUUGUUCUUUUAAUAACACAAGCCCUUGUUACUUGCAUUAGGACAUUGUCGAAGUCAAUACUUCAUAUUUUACAAUCAUGUUAUAAUAAUAGUAUCAACAAUGGAGUUGAAGAAAACUUGGAACGCAAAAUAUGGAAGCCAAUCCCAAUUAGUUGGCUGUUAUGAAUCACUAGCUUCUCAACAUCAAGAAGUUAACUCAAUUUUAUACUUCCUUUGCUAAAUAAUGGUAGUAUGCAGACCAACUCUCCCCAUCUCAACUAUCUCACAGAGUACUUGCUACUUCCCACUGACUAGGUCAUCGAGUAGUCAGAUGAGAAGAAAUCACAUACCGUUCUUGCUACUUCCCACUAACAAAAUCAUCGAGUAGACAGCUGAGAAAAAAUCCCCUUCUUGCUACUUCCUACUAACAAAGUCAUCCGAGUAGACAGAUGAGAAGAAAUCACGUACCAUUUUGUCUUUGCUUAAAUUUGAACCCUGACCUCUCAUGAUUUUCUUUUUUUCAUCAGGACUCCGAUCUCUCAUGCUUUUCACCCAUUUUAUUGACUCUAAGCCAUACCUCGAUGGUUACUCAACUUUAUAAUGCAGGGAUCAAAGCAUGUUCCAACAACAUAAAAGACCAUCAAAGAGUGAAGAUUCCAGGCUUCAGAACUCCCACAAAAAGUUCCAGCACCACCAAAAGUGGCAGCUAUAAUUCUGAUUGGAUCACUCUCAACCUCCGGAAAACGCAAAAUUCCAUAGAGAUCACAACACAAUUGUUCUUGUAAGCUUACGAUGAAUGCCAAACAAGAAGGACUAGAACAAUAUAAGGAAACCAUAAGUCCCCUAUUCACUAUUACCUUGUUGACUGUCUAAAGAUGUUCAGGACUAGGAUCCUUAUAUUUCUACAGCUUGCCCCUUUUGUCCAUACGUCGCAAUUAUAAAAAUGAGCUUCAUGAGAGUGUUGGAGAAGAGAUUACCUGCAAAUGCAACCGCAGAAGGCUUCACAUUUGAUCUGAAAGCUAAGUUUGGGUGAAGCUAUGCACUGAAAUAAGUGUGCGCUUCAGACAACAACGCGAAGGUAAUCUCAACAAGAAGCGAUUCAUUCUUCCAACCUCAACUCUGAGGUGUUGGAUUAACAUUUCAGUGAAUAAUAUGAACAGACAAGCCACAUGUCAAUACAAGCGAAGAUACAAACCUAUCCACCAUCGCAGAGGUGGACCUUGUCUUGUUUUGGUUCAUUAACAUUUAGUGAUUGCCAACACAUGACUUGCAAAUUCCAGAGCAACAUGCAUAUCUGCAAGGACAGCAGAUUGAAGAAACGAUGCAGAUUCUUCUAAAACUAAAAAUAUUGCUGAACCUCUAGAUGUGAAACAUCACUAUUGUUCCCAAAAAUACAAGAUCAACAACCAUAUAAGAGCAGUGGCAUCACAAAUGUUGAACACUUACCAAAACAAAAACACCAACUUUUGGCAACUUUCAGCAUGUAUAUAUACCCCAGGCAUUUUUCUUAAGAUUGGCAAAAAAACAAAGAGGUUGAUUCUUAUAAUCUCUGAAUUUCAUUAAAAAAAUUGUGCUCUAUGGAGAAAAGUCGCAAAUUUUAAGUCCUCUUCCCUUUUUCUUCUAGUACGCAGGAUCUAUUAGCCAGAAUAAGUUUGGUUCUCUAAGGCUGGCUAAAGAAUGUCAUUAGUUUGUAAUAACACCUUGCUUUGACUCUUCUACUACGGGAGAUUACACUUCUAGUUCACUCAAUUUCCUUGCAUCAGAACUCCCAGAAAAAGUUCCAGCACUACCAUAAGUGGCAGUUAUGACUCUGAUCACAUAACUCUUCUACCUCCAAGAAAUCACAAAGUUCAGUAAUGACCACAACACAACUGUUCUUUAGAUGCAUAGUGCCUUUGUUGAAACUAUAAGCUCACAAUGAAUACUAAACUACAAAGACUCGUCUAAUAUAAGAGUAUAAAGUCCCCUAUGGACUGUCACCUUGCUGAUGACAAAAGCCAAACGAUCAACCAACUCUAAGAAGUGAAUUUGGAAUCCCGAAUGAUCCACUAGCCAUCAAAUAACAAAAUUGAAAGAUUUCAAUUGCAUAAUAGUACAUCUCAAAAUCAUACAAACGACUUCAAAAUAAGUUCUCUGAUGCUGCAAUAAAAUAGAACAAAUAAGAAAAAUAAGUACCUGUGUAAGGGAGUCACAAAAUACUAGGAUAUCAGUGACAAGUUUCCUAUAUCAUUCCUCGAAUUGUUGAAUGUUUAAGCUUGUUGAUUUCUCCAUUGACAUCAAGUAAUAAGAAUAAACAGCUCCAAGAUACUACAGUAAGGUUGAUCAGCUUAGAUAGGAGAGCACUAAGAGUUGCUAUAUACAGAGGUAGAAUUAAGUCAUUAGUGUGUUAG